GAUGAACGCUGGCGGCGUGCCUAGUACAUGCAAGUCGAGCGAACAGACGAGGAGCUUGCUCCUCUGACGUUAGCGGCGGACGGGGGAGUAACACGUGGAUAACCUACCUAUAAGACUGGGAUAACUUCGGGAAACCGGAGCUAAUACCGGAUAAUAUAUUGAACCGCAUGGUUCAAUAUUGAAAACCGGUUUUGCUGUAACUUAUAGAUGGAUCCGCGCCGCAUUAGCUAGUUGGUAAGGUAACGGCUUACCAAGGCAACGAUGCGUAGCCGACCUGAGAGGGUGAUCGGCCACACUGGAACUGAGACACGGUCCAGACUCCUACGGGAGGCAGCAGUAGGGAAUCUUCCGCAAUGGGCGAAAGCCUGACGGAGCAACGCCGCGUGAGUGAUGAAGGUCUUCGGAUCGUAAAACUCUGUUAUUAGGGAAGAACAAAUGUGUAAGUAACUAUGCACGUCUUGACGGUACCUAAUCAGAAAGCCACGGCUAACUACGUG
rnacentral:rRNA from 1 species